AGUCAACUCGAGACCAUGGUAGGUCAGCUUAUUUGCUGAUGAGCUGACUCAAUUGUGCAGACUAGGUCUACAAGUUUCUAUUUAUCUCAGUAUUGUACUGACUCACUGUGACAAGUCAAUUCAUGUAUUAGGGUGAGUCGACUCGAUUAUACAGACAACAAAAUUAUAUGAGAUACAAUAUAAAUUAUUUAGAUCAAAAAUUAUUUUGAGAUCUAAACUUAAACCCAUGUACAUAAUGCACUUAAUUGAGAAUUAAGAUUCAAAAUUAUAAGAUCAAAAAUAGUGAAGUUAAGAUCUAAAUUUCAAUAUAUAAAAUACG
rnacentral:lncRNA from 1 species